CCCCUAGAAAAUGAUGAUAAUAUCCUAUUGGCUAGCUGAUACAUCCACUCUGUUGGUGCUGCUCAAACAUACAUUGGAAGCUGGUGUACUUUUGAAUAAUAACGUACCGGCAGUCACAUUGGCUACUCUAUUCCAUAGAAUGACACAGCUAUCAGGGAACCCCUCAAGGAGUUAAUCUUUCUCCCAUCAUUGGUGAUUCAGCUGGCGUGCUGAAGGCAAAGAUCCAGAUUCUCUGUUCAAUUAGCAGCUAACAUCAUCUGUAGAAAUGAUUUAUGGGACUAAUCUGUGAUGAUUCUGCAUCUAGGCUUCGAGAUUAUCCAGACCAGGCAUACUAAACGAGACUGCAAACACACUCACCAAUGCUGCUACUCAGUGCUCACUGGCAACAUGUCAAGAGACUUUCUAUCUAUCUGAACAUGCUGAAAUCCAACCAUG